UACGAAGGGGGGCAAGCGUUGUUCGGAAUUACUGGGCGUAAAGGGCUCGUGGGCGGCCAACUAAGUCAUACGUGAAAUCCCUCGGCUUAACCGGGGAACUGCGUCUGAUACUGGAUGGCUUGAGAUUGGGAGAGGGAUGCGGAAUUCCAGGUGUAGCGGUGAAAUGCGUAGAUAUCUGGAGGAACACCGGUGGCGAAGGCGGCAUCCUGGACCAACACUGACGCUGAGGAGCGAAAGCCAGGGGAGCAAACGGG
rnacentral:rRNA from 1 species